rnacentral:tRNA from 1 species
GGAGAUGUGGCACAAGUGGUAGCGCACUCACCUGGCAUGAGUGUGGCCUGGGUUCGAUCCACAGCACCA